GUCUAUGGACAUACCACCCUGAACACGCCCGAUCUCAUUUGAUCUCGGAAGCUAAGCAGAGUCGGGCCUGGUUAGUACUUGGACCAGAGAUUUGGAACACAGGGAUCUUGAGUGC
rnacentral:rRNA from 1 species